AUAGUGAUAGCAAUGAUGAUGGCUGGUGUUUAUUGACUGCUUACUACGCAGGGGACUGUGCUGCAAGGUCCUUGCAUGUUGUUACACUGUAAAUACUACUGUUUGUCCCAUCUCACAGAAGGACACUAAGCCACAGAAGAUGACAGAUUGUCCAAGGUCAAAGGACACAGGAGCCCUAGAGACUGCCUGCAACCCCCAGAGUGGAAUUUGUAGCGGGUCACUUGGGACGUGAAGACACUGGAUUGCAGAGAUGAGGCCAGACUAUCAGAAAUCCGGGUUGAUUUAGACGCACGAGUGGGUUGUGGGAAAUUGCAAUGGAAAACAAACCACUAACUUCUGGAGACAUACAGGAUGGGCAGCCAAAGACAUUUGGGAGGAGAGAGGAGUGUAAAAGCUCUUCUGGGACUGCCUAGGUGAAUUGCACAUUGUCUGAGAAAAGAGAGAGCUCUGGAGCUUGUAGUCUGCAUCGGGGGGCCCAGUGCUGACCACCCCAGUGGAGGGGCCAAGGCCUCAAUUGCCAAGAGUUUGUGGAGCCAUCUCCGAGCUGCCCUGCUUUAGGGGAGGACCCCGGUUUUGGCAAACGCACUGCCAAUCUCAAAGGGGAGGAGGUUUUUGUUUGGUUUCGAUUUGAUUUUGACACAGCUCUGAGAGUUUCCUGAAGCACAGAUGGCCCCUCCCGGUUUUACCAGCGAGAAGUGGGACAUCUGACCGCAAGAAGCAAAGGGAAAGAUGGAAGCAGCUGCCUUUGAAAGACACUCUGGGAGAAACUAGGAAUGCACAGCGUCGCCACGGGCCCAGGUGACAGCGUGAGAAUGGAUUCCACCACCUCUCUGGCAUUGGGAGAGUAUUGUGUUAAAGGACAAUUGGCAGAGACACAGGUGGGCAUGUGCCAGGGCAGCAGAUGGCUUUCCUCAAGCAAGCCUUUGAGCAGUGGGUAUCAGGGAGGGGAGAGGAGCUGUGAAGGAAGAACAUGGCAACGGGAACACUAGGUGAGCAACCCUAAGAAGCCAGUGCUCAGAAGACUUCUUUUUUUUUUGGUACCGGGGAUUGAACUCAGGUCCUUGCGCUUGCACAGCAGGCGGCGAAACCACUGAGCUAAAUCCCCAGCCCAAGGAAGACUUCUGGAUAUAAAUGGAAGAUGCCAAGGCCUGGGGAGCUAGGUUACACAUGAUAGGUGCAAAGCGCUUCAGAAUAAUCAGGUGCAAGAGCAUCAGCUUGCUUUAUUUUUCUUAGCAAAAUCAAAUCUGGCACAGUGUUUAUUGGUUGACUAACAGGAUAGCCCAGUCGAUCACUUUUGGAAGAUGGUCUCCAGGUGAAAGCACUUCUCCUCUGCAUAUCAAGAUUUCUCAGACAAUCUGGCAUGAAGGAGGCAGGUCAGCAUGUACGAUUUUGAGAAGUCCCCCAUAUUCCAACCCUUGUACCCCUUGGUUCCCAGGCCAAGUGCAUCCUGGUAGGGGAGGAAGAGCACCACUGGCCAGAGAGCAGCCUGUGUCCUUCGAGGUGUCUCUCUAGCUGGCCGAGGAGCUGGCUGCCAAUAAACCAUUCCUUUCUUCUUCUGAGCCACCUGCUUCUGCCGACAGGACACUGCCACAAGACCAGGCAAUCCACGGCCAGUGGCUCAUUGGCUUACUUUUUCCUCUGUAAAUGAGUUUCUUGGUCAGAAGUAAUACUGUAGGGCAGAUCACGAUAGAAUAUAAGCCAUCCAGCAUGUCAAUGGAGAGCCGGCAGCAGGGAGCUGACAGCCAAGGAAACCAAACACAACCAGAACUGCUACCUGCUCCGUGGGGUGACGGACACAGUCCAGUGUAAUCAACCUGCCACCUGGCCACUGGCUCCUCCCCCAACUUCCUUGCCGCACCAAAUGGCACGGUCACUCAGUUGAUCAGGCCAAGAUCCCAGAGCCCGGUCCCAGCUUCUCCCUUCCCUCACCCCCCGUAUCCAGUGUCAGUGCAUCUAGACUCUGCCCGGGUCUGAUCCCUACUCAGACACCUCCACCUCUACCACACUAGUCAAAGCCUCGGUCACCACCCAUGGGGAACUGCAAUAGCCUUCCAGCUGGUCACCCUGCUUCUGGCCUUCUUUACUGUACACUUCACUCUCAAGCCAAAGUGAUUUUUAUAUUUGGUCGUGCUACAGAGGGGACCCACGGCCUCUCACCUGCAGGCAGCUACUCUGUCACCAAGCUGUACACCCAGCCUGUCUGUCUGUCAUCUGUCGUUUUGGGGAUUAAACCCAGGGUCUUCACACCAAGCUCAUCCCCAGUGCUUUUUUAUUUCUUUAAUUCUGAGACAGGGUCUUGCUAAGUUGCCCAGAGUGGGUCCAAACUUGCAAUCCUCCUGCCUCGGCCUUCCAGAGUGCCAGGAUUAUAAGUGUGUGUCACCACGCCUAGCUGGUCCUUUUAAUUUUUAAGGCAAUAUGAAUAUUUCUCAAAAACUAAAAAUAGAAAUUCUAUUUGACCUAGGUAUAGCUCUCUGGAGCUAUAUUCCUGGAUGAGUUAAAAACACCAUAUUAGUGUGACACAUGCACACCCAUGUUUACAGCAGUGCAAGCUACAACAGCUAAGAUGUGCAAACAGCCCAGAGCCCAUCAGCAGAUGGGCGAAUAAAGAAGAUAUGAUGUACACAUAUAUGUGCAUUUAUGAAUAUAAUCAUGUCAUUUGCAGGAAAAUGGAUGGAUUCUGAAUCCAUAAUGUUAAGUGAAAUAAGUCAGACACAGAAAGUUAAAUAUUGUACAAUUUAUUUUAUAAGGGAAGACCCAAAACAUACAUGAAUUAAAGAGUAAAAUAAAGGAGUGAUGGUAGGAAAGAGGCAGGUAAACAGUUUGGAGAAGGGAAUAAGGAAGAGGGGGAGAAUAUAUAAAUAUAUAUUCCCCCAAAUGAAUGCAACUAAUACUGUUAUUAUUUUAGGGUUUUGAGACAGGGUCUAGCUAUGUAGUUCAGGCUGGACUUGAACUCACUGUGUAAUCCAGGCUGGCCUCGAAUUUGUGACAAUUCUCCUGCCUCAGCCUCCUGAGUGCUGGGAUUACAGGCAUGUGCUGCCACGCUCGGCCAUAGCUAUUAUGCAUUACAAACGCACACACACCACACACACACACACACACACACACACACACCAGCAGGACAGAGUCUUGCUAAGUUGCCCAGGCAGGCCUCGAAUUUUUGACCCUCUUGCCUCAGCCUCCAGAGUAGUCAGGAUUCUAGGUGCACGUGUGCCACCAAGUCAGGAUGAUUUUUUUAAAUUUGAAAAUUGUGAUAAGCCUGGACAUGGUGGCGUGUGCUUAUAAUCCCUGCUUUCUGAGAGGCUGAAGCAGGAGAAUGGCAAGUUUGAGCUCAGCCUGGGCAACUUAGUGAUUUAGCAAGACCCUGUUUCAAAAUAAAAACGAGAUUGGGGAUGGAGCUCAGUGUGAAGGCCCUGGGUUCAGUCCUCAGGACCAGAGAAAAAAUCAUGAUAAAAUAUAAAUAACCUAAAAUUGUGAUGUACUAAUUUAACCAUUUUAAGUGUACUGUUCAAUAGUAUUAAAUGCAUUCACAUUUUCAUAAAAUCAGUUCCUAGAAUGCUGUCAUCUUGUUAAACUGAAACCCUGAUCUCAGCAGAUAACUUCCCAUCUCCCCUUCCCCAGUCUCUGGACGCCAUGUCCCUAACUUCUGUAGCUUUGAAUUUUAACAGCUCCAGGCGCCUCAUGUAAGUGGAGUCAGGGUAUUUGUUUUGUUUUGUUUUAGUGUAUGUGAUUUGCUGGUUUUACUUAGCAAAAUGUCCUCAAAAAUUCA